GUGAGGAAUAUUGGUCAAUGGUCGGAAGACUGAACCAGCCAUGCCGCGUGCAGGAAGACGGUCCUAUGGAUUGUAAACUGCUUUUAUUCGGGGAUAAACCUCCUUACGUGUAGGGAGCUGAAGGUACCGAAAGAAUAAGCACCGGCUAACUCCGUGCCAGCAGCCGCGGUAAUACGGAGGGUGCAAGCGUUAUCCGGAAUCAUUGGGUUUAAAGGGUCCGCAGGCGGGAUUGUAAGUCAGUGGUGAAAUCCGGCAGCUCAACUGUCGCACUGCCAUUGAUACUGCAGUCCUUGAAUUCGAUUGGAGUGGGCGGAAUAUGUCAUGUAGCGGUGAAAUGCUUAGAUAUGGCACAGAACACCAAUUGCGAAGGCAGCUCACUAAGGCGAUACUGACGCUGAGGCACGAAAGCGUGGGGAUCGAACAGGAUUAGAAACCCCAGUAGUCC
rnacentral:rRNA from 1 species